UACGUAGGGUGCAAGCGUUAAUCGGAAUUACUGGGCGUAAAGCGUGCGCAGGCGGUUGUGUAAGACAGAUGUGAAAUCCCCGGGCUCAACCUGGGAACUGCAUUUGUGACUGCACAGCUGGAGUGCGGCAGAGGGGGAUGGAAUUCCGCGUGUAGCAGUGAAAUGCGUAGAUAUGCGGAGGAACACCGAUGGCGAAGGCAAUCCCCUGGGCCUGCACUGACGCUCAUACACGAAAGCGUGGGGAGCAAACAGG
rnacentral:rRNA from 1 species